rnacentral:rRNA from 1 species
CCUACGGGUGGCUGCAGUGAGGAAUAUUGGUCAAUGGACGGAAGUCUGAACCAGCCAUGCCGCGUGCAGGAAGACGGCUCUAUGAGUUGUAAACUGCUUUUGUACAAGGGUAAACAUGAAUACGUGUAUGCAGCUGAAAGUACGGUACGAAUAAGGAUCGGCUAGCUCCGUGCCAGCAGCCGCGGUAAUACGGAGGAACCAAGCGUUAUCCGGAUUUAUUGGGUUUAAAGGGUGCGUAGGCGGUUUGAUAAGUUAGAGGGGAAAUGUCCGAGCUUAACUCGGGAACUGCCUCUCAUACUGUUGAUCUAGCGCGUAGGUGCGGUAGGCGGAAUGUCUGGUGUAGCGGUGAAAUGCUU